rnacentral:lncRNA from 1 species
AAACAGCUUAUUCUGAUAAAAGAGUGACAAAUCUGUAUGCUUACAAGAAGACUGAAGGAUUGUGUCUUGCAACAUCAGCUGUUUUAUUUAUGAUGUGUAAGUAGCAUAGAGCAAAGAGAUUGUUUGUAUACUUGUUAUCUUUGGUACCAUUUCACUAAUAAAAUCAAGUAUUUUAGAGGGAAGUUUCUGCUAGUAUAUACUUAUUAAAGGAAUAUUUUUAGUUGAUCUGGUCUCAUUCAUGCAGCUUCUUUAAUUAGAAAUGUGGAUACCAGUGAAAAUAUAAACGUACUAUAGUAUCUUUGAAAAGCUGGGUUUCUCCUUUGGGAGGAAUUAUAAUUCUUGCAGUGUAUCAUGUUUCAGCUGAUACUAGUUUGAUUUCUUGAUUUUGAUUAUAAAUCAGUUGCAAAAUAUAUAAAGGAUUGUGUACAGUUAGCUAAGAAACAUACCUUUGGAAAUUAAUAGUUAAGGAUGGCCGCCUUAUUAUCUAACUUAUCCCAUGUAUAAGUCCAUAUGCACCACAUUGUUACAUUGUUCGUGAAUUAAUAAUUCCCUUACAAAAAAGGCUUUUAUUUGUUUUGUUUUUAAAGGCAAAGGCCGAAAACAACCACCCACCAAGCACAGACAUUUCCUCCUCACCUCAAGUCAUAUUUUCUUAUGAAUGCUGUAUUUUCUGGGUUUGCUUUGUAAAUACAGUGCAGAUCUGUAGGGUUCUGUCUCUUCGUACUAGGUGUUUUGCAGUUCCCCUCUUCCUAAAAAGCCACUAGUAGAAAAUGACUAUUCUGUAAAAUGCCUGUUUCUGCAGAGGAUUGCUCAUUUUCAAACUGGUAGUGUAACACAGUAAUGAAGUCUCUGCUUGCUCCAGCAGGAUUGUGUGCAUCAUCCAUUAAACGUGUUUGUACUCCACUGGAAUUGCCUUCAUCGUUAACUGGUUUGCAUGCUGAGCUGCCAUGGUAGAUUGCUUGGUUUUGCACUUCAUAAAUGAGAUUACAUGGAGUGACGUUUUGAGAACAGUGUAGUUCAUGAUAGUUUUAUUGUUUUAAAUGUAAUUUCAUUUGUGUCGGCCUUUAUUUGAAAACAUGACUCAUAAUUGCUUAGAAAAGUGAUUAGCCAUUUUGCUAAGGCCAUGUAAAGCAUGUAUGUGUAAGCUUCUGUUAGUGGCUACAGUUAUCUUACAGCAGUGUCUCUGGGUAACGGACAGGAUUUUUCUUAGGA